UAGUUUGGGUGUCAAAAGAGUAACGAGCAUCAACUUCGGUGGAGACACGGCCAGGGACGAUAGCGAGGAUCUUGGUACCGAAUUCGAUCAAAAGACGAUCAAAAGCAAUCUCAAUUUGAGAGUUGAUGGAACCACCCUUUGCCUUGGCAUAGUCAACAGCAGCGUCGACGAGAGCAGCAUAUUGGGGCUUCUUAGAAGCGGCCAAGAUGAGAGAAGGGUUUGUGGUGGCAUCUUGGGGUUUGUAUUUGGCGAUCGA